rnacentral:rRNA from 1 species
ACGGGAGGCAGCAGUGAGGAAUAUUGGUCAAUGGGCGGAAGCCUGAACCAGCCAUGCCGCGUGCAGGAAGACGGUUCUAUGAAUUGUAAACUGCUUUUCUACAGGAAGAAACCACCUUAUGCGUAGGGUGUUGCCGGUACUGUAGGAAUAAGCAUCGGCUAACUCCGUGCCAGCAGCCGCGGUAAUACGGAGGAUGCAAGCGUUAUCCGGAUUCAUUGGGUUUAAAGGGUGCGUAGGCGGAAUAGUAAGUCAGUGGUGAAAUCCUGCGGCUCAACCGUAGAAUUGCCAUUGAAACUGUUAUUCUUGAAUGUAGUUGAGGUAGGCGGAAUGUGUAAUGUAGCGGUGAAAUGCAUAGAUAUUACACAGAACACCGAUUGCGAAGGCAGCUUACUAAGCUAUGAUUGACGCUGAUGCACGAAAGCGUGGGGAGCGAACAGGAUUAGAUACCCUGGUAGUCCACCGCUGUAAACG